rnacentral:rRNA from 1 species
CUGAGACACGGUCCAGACUCCUACGGGAGGCAGCAGUGGGGAAUAUUGGACAAUGGGCGAAAGCCUGAUCCAGCCAUGCCGCGUGUGUGAAGAAGGNCUUCGGAUNGUAAAGCACUUUAANUUGGGAGGAAGGGNUGUAGAUUAAUACUCNGCANUUUG